GAGAGUUACGGGAAUCUCUCCCUAAAAUUUUAGAGAAAGACUUUCCUCUCUUCUUUUUCUUUGGAAGCUCUCGUCUCUUUUGUUUUAUUACCAAUUUAAUGGCCUCUCCUACUCCAUCUGGAUAGAGGAGGGCUUUCGCCUUUGCCCAAGAAUGGGUUCUCCCUCCCUACUUUCGGCUAGGGCUAUAGAUAUAUUUUUGGUUUUACUUGUUUUGGUUGUAGGGUUUGUUUAUCUGAGAGAGGGAUCUUUUCCUCCUGCAUGCAUUGUCUGGGUAUAGCUUGUGACCAAGCCAUUGUCUCUGGGUUACUAUCUGAGCUAGGGGAGGGAUAGUCGACCUAGAACGAUGGUCUCUGUCUAUUGUUAAUUAAGCCGCGGGAGGGUGCAUUAUCGUCACUUUGAGAAGUGGGAUUUCAAGGUCCCAUCGACGGUUUGAAAGAUGCCUUUGAAGGCUACAAGUCGUUUGAGCUCUUUCACUCGACUCUCUCUACUGUUUUUAGGGAAAUGAUAUGAGCUUUUGAGGUGCUUGAGUCUCUGUUUGUCGGUUGAAUGCUUCUCUACAAGAACUGUCACAAGAAUCUCCGAUGGGUUGUUGCUAUUUAGGCAGUGCUGCUCAAGGAAACUAGCUAGGCUGCUCUUUUUUUUUUUUUU
rnacentral:misc_RNA from 1 species